UACGUAGGGGGCAAGCGUUGUCCGGAUUCAUUGGGCGUAAAGAGCGUGUAGGCGGCCAGGUAGGUCGGUUGUGAAAACUGGAGGCUCAACCUUCAGAGGUCGACCGAAACCAUCUGGCUAGAGUCCGGGAGAGGAGAGUGGAAUUCCUGGUGUAGCGGUGAAAUGCGCAGAUAUCAGGAGGAACACCGGUGGCGAAGGCGGUUCUCUGGGCCGGUACUGACGCUGAGGAACGAAAGCGUGGGGAGCGAACAGG
rnacentral:rRNA from 1 species